rnacentral:rRNA from 1 species
GCAGUCGAACGGUGAAAGCGGGAGCUUGCUCCUGCUGGAUCAGUGGCGAACGGGUGAGUAACACGUGAGUAACCUGCCCUUGACUCUGGGAUAAGCGUUGGAAACGACGUCUAAUACCGGAUACGAGCUUCAGCCGCAUGGCUAGGAGCUGGAAAGAAUUUCGGUCAAGGAUGGACUCGCGGCCUAUCAGCUAGUUGGUGAGGUAAUGGCUCACCAAGGCGACGACGGGUAGCCGGCCUGAGAGGGUGACCGGCCACACUGGGACUGAGACACGGCCCAGACUCCUACGGGAGGCAGCAGUGGGGAAUAUUGCACAAUGGGCGCAAGCCUGAUGCAGCAACGCCGCGUGAGGGACGACGGCCUUCGGGUUGUAAACCUCUUUUAGCAGGGAAGAAGCGAAAGUGACGGUACCUGCAGAAAAAGCACCGGCUAACUACGUGCCAGCAGCCGCGGUAAUACGUAGGGUGCAAGCGUUGUCCGGAAUUAUUGGGCGUAAAGAGCUCGUAGGCGGUUUGUCGCGUCUGCUGUGAAAACGCGAGGCUCAACCUCGCGCCUGCAGUGGGUACGGGCAGACUAGAGUGCGGUAGGGGAGAUUGGAAUUCCUGGUGUAGCGGUGGAAUGCGC